UACGAAGGGGGCUAGCGUUGUUCGGAAUCACUGGGCGUAAAGGGCGCGUAGGCGGCUUUAUAAGGCGGGGGUGAAAGCCUGUGGCUCAACCACAGAAUUGCCUUCGAUACUGUAGAGCUUGAGACCGGAAGAGGUAAGUGGAACUGCGAGUGUAGAGGUGAAAUUCGUAGAUAUUCGCAAGAACACCAGUGGCGAAGGCGGCUUACUGGUCCGGUUCUGACGCUGAGGCGCGAAAGCGUGGGGAGCAAACAGG
rnacentral:rRNA from 1 species